CUGGAGUAAAACCUCUGCUUUCUGAAAUGUGGAGCAAAAGGACAGUAGUACUUGUUUCUUCCCUGCCCUAUUCUUUGGCUGCGCUAUGUCACGGAAGUUAUUCCUUAUGCAAGCGGAAGUAGUUGUGAACCAGCAGGUACAGAGAACAGUGCUGUGUGUGUAUGUCCUGCAGAAACUCCAGGUGUGGAACUGCCCUUUCUUGAGUUACUUCAAGGGAGUGGUAAUUAUUGGCGUGUAAAUAGCAUAAAUAUCAGUGUAGUAAAGAACUGUACGUGCAUGAACAUAUGUACACAGGGAAUCUACAGCCUUACGCAGCAUCUAAGCAGUGAUUUUAGGGAUCGUCUUUGCAUCUCUGGUGCUGUGCUGAGAAACUAACAGGUGCAGACCUCUCGGCACCCAAUUGAUUUUGGCUUCCUUACUGUGGCCGCUUUUCACGUAGCUGCUCAUGGGUCUUAACCUCACUCCUCUAGCGGCAGCCACAGCAAGCCGGAGAGAGGUAAAUGCCCUUGUUCCAGGAGUUGCAACUUCUAGCCUUGUACUUAAGCUCAAAACAGCCGAGGUACAGGGAGGAAAGCGAAGCUAUGCAGGGCCCUAGGGAUGGCGGCGCUCUCCCGGGCUGAAAAUCCCCUAUCCCAAGCAGACCAGCCUUCCGAAUGAGGCAGGCAGGCUGCCGCGGGGAGAUGGCGCCAGGUAACAGGCCAGAGGAGGGGCUGGUGUCGCCGCCUCAGGGUGAGGGGCAGCAAGACAGGGCUAGGCUGCCCCGUACAUCCCCCCGCCCCAAGCCGGGAGCAGGGCUACGCGCUUCUUCCUCGCCUCUACAGACUUGAUCGAUACGCUGCAGGCUUCUCACGGCGGGAGGGAGCGCAGGAAAUAAAAACAAGUGUGUGCGGCGCUGGGGGAGGGGAAUCCCUGCUCCUGCUCCCAGGCCGAGCCGCCUUGUCCUGUCGCGGAGCCGGGAAAACGAGGGCUUACAGUUCCAUAUUAUUCCUGGUGAGAAUUUCUGCUGGUCUUUUUCUGGCUGCGGGUGGAUGUUUGGAGGAAGCUGCAAUCCAGUGGGAGGACCCGAUGGAGAGAGGGGUUCCCUGCUUCCAGGAUGGAGCAGCCUGUCCUUGGAGGACUGCACCCCAUGGAAGACUGAUCCACACUGCAGCAGUUUUGGGAGGACUGUUUGUCUGUGUGAGGGACUCAUGUUGCAGUGGUUUUGGGAAUGCUGCUGCUCAUGUGAUUGGAACCACACUGGAGAAGUUAAUGGAGACCUGUGUCCCAUGGGAAGGAACCCCACAGUCUCACAGGGGAAGGACUUCUUUCCCUGAGCAGUGGAAGAAGAUCUAAGGUUAUGAACUGACCAAAACCUCUGUGCCCUGUCUCCAUGCACUGUCGGUGGGAAGGAGAAAGGCAUUGGGGGGAAAUAAAGGGGUUUUAAGGGCUUAUUCUCA
rnacentral:lncRNA from 1 species